rnacentral:tRNA from 1 species
GCCCGUGUAGCUCAACGGCUGAGCAGCUGCCCUACAAGCAGCGUGAUGGGGGUUCGAAUCCCUCCGCGGGUAC